rnacentral:rRNA from 1 species
AUCCUGGGGCUGGAGAAGGUCCCAAGGGUUUGGCUGUUCGCCAAUUAAAAAGAUACGUGAGCUGGGUUCAAACCGUCGUGAGACAGGUUGGUCUCUAUCUGCCGCAGGCGUUGAUGCUUGAGGGAAGUCGCUCCUAGUACGAGAGGACCGGAGUGAACGAACCUCUGGUGUACGAGCUGUCCCGCCCGGGGCAAUGCUCGGUAGCUAUGUUCGGAAGGGAUAAGCGCUGAAAGCAUAUAAGCGCGAAGCCCCUCCCAAGAUUAGGCAUCGUUUAGAUCCGUGGGAGAUGACCACGUUGAUAGGCUGCAGGUGUAAGUCCGGCAACGGAUUAAGCCAAGCAGUACUAAUAGAUCGAAAUCU